rnacentral:rRNA from 1 species
ACUCCUGCGGGAGGCAGCAGUGGGGAAUUUUGGACAAUGGGCGAAAGCCUGAUCCAGCCAUGCCGCGUGCAGGAUGAAGGCCUUCGGGUUGUAAACUGCUUUUGUACGGAACGAAACGGCCUUUUCUAAUAAAGAGGGCUAAUGACGGUACCGUAAGAAUAAGCACCGGCUAACUACGUGCCAGCAGCCGCGGUAAUACGUAGGGUGCAAGCGUUAAUCGGAAUUACUGGGCGUAAAGCGUGCGCAGGCGGUUAUGUAAGACAGUUGUGAAAUCCCCGGGCUCAACCUGGGAACUGCAUCUGUGACUGCAUAGCUAGAGUACGGUAGAGGGGGAUGGAAUUCCGCGUGUAGCAGUGAAAUGCGUAGAUAUGCGGAGGAACACCGAUGGCGAAGGCAAUCCCCUGGACCUGUACUGACGCUCAUGCACGAAAGCGUGGGGAGCAAACAGGAUUAGAUACCCUGGUAGUCCCAUGAU